rnacentral:rRNA from 1 species
GUGGGGAAUCUUCCGCAAUGGACGAAAGUCUGACGGAGCAACGCCGCGUGAGUGAAGAAGGUUUUCAGAUCGUAAAGCUCUUUCGUUAGGGACGAACGUGCUCUUUGUGAAUAAUGAGGAGUAAUGACGGUACCUAAAUAAGAAGCCACGGCUAACUACGUGCCAGCAGCCGCGGUAAUACGUAGGUGGCAAGCGUUGUCCGGAAUUAUUGGGCGUAAAGCGCGCGCAGGCGGGAUAUCAAGUCUGUCUUAAAAGUGCGAGGCUCAACCUCGUGAGGGGACAGAAACUGGUAUUCUUGAGUGUCGGAGAGGAAUGUGGAAUUCCAAGUGUAGCGGUGAAAUGCGUAGAGAUUUGGAAGAACACCAGUGGCGAAGGCGACUUUCUGGACGAUGUCUGACGCUGAGGCGCGAAAGCUAGGGGAGCGAACGGGAUUAGAUACCCCAGUAGUCC